GCCGUCGCCGGAAUCCCAAUCCUCACCAAAAUUUCCAGAUUUUCUUCUCUUCCUUCCCUCUUUCCAUUUCUCCAACCAAAAUCAAGAAAUUUGGCCAUCCAACCCUCCAAAAACCUUAGAACCCGAAGCUAAAUUGGGGCUUUUUGUGAUUUCUUCUUUCCAAGUUCAAAUCAAGAGGCUAGGCUAUGGGUUUGGCAAGGAUUUGUGGUGAAGAAGGCCAAUGAGGAGGAUUAGGCCAUGAGUUUUGAAGAAGAAAGGGAAACACGAUCGUUAAGGAAGCUUAAGCGGAAAGCGUCAGAGUGUGGAAUACGCCGGCAUAUCCAGGUAGGGUGAGCUGUCCCUUCCUUGUUAGAGG